rnacentral:misc_RNA from 1 species
ACUUUUUAUUACUCUAUCCUGCAAGGCUUAUGAUCAAAUAGAGCUCAUAACUAGGCAUAAAAUGUUCGAUCUAGUAAAAGAGUACCAUUUUCCUAUUUACAGAACAACUAGGUAUACAAGCCACAAGGUUUUCUUUGCUUUUCUCCCUUUUGUGCUGAUGCAUAGCGGCGACCUUACUGAACCUUCAUCAUCCAGCCCUUCUUUUCUUCUACAAUACCCAUCUGAAUGUCGGUAAGGGCUGUAUACAGCUUCUGAAACACCCGUUCCCCUGAGGUUUUAUACUCGUAACUUAGACCAUGAUAGGUAACACUUCCUACAGGAGCAA